GAUGAACGCUGGCGGCGUGCCUAAUACAUGCAAGUCGAGCGAACAGACGAGGAGCUUGCUCCUCUGACGUUAGCGGCGGACGGGUGAGUAACACGUGGAUAACCUACCUAUAAGACUGGGAUAACUUCGGGAAACCGGAGCUAAUACCGGAUAAUAUAUUGAACCGCAUGGUUCAAUAGUGAAAGACGGUUUUGCUGUCACUUAUAGAUGGAUCCGCGCCGCAUUAGCUAGUUGGUAAGGUAACGGCUUACCAAGGCAGCGAUGCGUAGCCGACCUGAGAGGGUGGUCGCCCGCACGGGAGCUGAGACGCGGUCCAGACUCCUACGGGAGGCAGCAGUAGGGAAUCUUCCGCAAUGGGCGAAAGCCUGACGGAGCAGCGCCGCGUGAGUGAUGAAGGUCUUCGGAUCGUAAAACUCUGUUAUUAGGGAAGAACAAAUGUGUAAGUAACUGUGCACGUCUUGACGGUACCUGAUCAGAAAGCCACGGCUAACUACGUG
rnacentral:rRNA from 1 species